rnacentral:rRNA from 1 species
AUUUUGACCUCGGAUCAGGUAGGAAUACCCGCUGAACUUAAGCAUAUC